GGAAGUGCGAGCCGGCCUGGUGGCGGCCGCGGUCUUCAAAACCGUUGUGCGGAGCGGAAAAUGCUUCGCAGGUGGGUUCGAUUCCCAUGCACUUCCG
rnacentral:tRNA from 1 species